rnacentral:rRNA from 1 species
UUUGAGAGUAAAAAACGUACAAGGUUCCGUAGGUGAACUGCGGAAGGAUCAUAUCGAAAACAAAACAUUGAAAGAAGAGGGAACACUCAAUAGGGUUUCUGGACUGUCGCUGGCUUUCUUCGCAUCGCGUGUGCACGUCCCCUUGAUCCUUUCUCUUUGGGUUGACCCUUUUCUUUCAUUUAAAUUCAUGACAACACACCUGUGCACCUAUUGUAGGUCCUCGGAAAGAGGAUCUAUGUUUUUUACAUCACUUUUAUACCGUAUGUUCAUAGAAUGUUAUCAAGUUGGCUGUCGUCGAUCAAUUCUGGACCCUUCAUUGGAGUCUGAGAUUUUUUUGGCUGGUCAAUGAAAUCAUAUACAACUUUCAGCAACGGAUCUCUUGGCUCUCGCAUCGAUGAAGAACGCAGCGAAUUGCGAUAAGUAAUGUGAAUUGCAGAUUUCCAGUGAAUCAUCGAAUCUUUGAACGCACCUUGCGCUCCUUGGUAUUCCGAGGAGCAUGCCUGUUUGAGUGUCAUUUUGAAUUCUCAACCAUCUCUUGAUUCAUUUCAAGACUGUUGGCUUGGAAUUGGGGGUUGCUGGCGGUCCUUGGUUCGUCAGCUCUCCUUAAACACAUUAGCAAUUGGGGCAGCCAAGUCUUUUUGACGUGCACGGCCUUCGACGUGAUAAUGAUCGUCGUGGCUGGAGCGUCUUUGGGAUUGCAUGAAUGCCUAUUGCUUAUAAUAUUGAUAAGAAUGAAUGUAAUGUAAUAAAAUGGCAAAGGCGCUCGUUCUUGAAAAAAAUUCAAAAAAGAGGGAAGAAUGCCCCCUAAGCUUUCCAAGCUUUUAGUUACUAGUUGGUCAACAGACUGGCGAACACAGAAGUGGACGAAGCCUGGCCAGGAUCUUUCCUUCAUUGUUUGUUUAUUUUCAAGACUAGUGUUUUGAACCCAUCUUGUUUCUUAUGUUUUUCGAAACUGACCUCAAAUCAGGUAGACGCCCGGCC